UGAGACGGGGAUAACUCCGGGAAACCGGGGCUAAUACCGGAUAACGCAUCGAACCGCAUGGUUCGAUGAUCAAAGAUGGCUUCUUGCUAUCACUCACAGAUGGGCCCGCGGCGCAUUAGUUAGUUGGUGAGGUAACGGCUCACCAAGGCGACGAUGCGUAGCCGACCUGAGAGGGUGAUCGGCCACACUGGGACUGAGACACGGCCCAGACUCCUACGGGAGGCAGCAGUAGGGAAUCAUCCGCAAUGGACGCAAGUCUGACGGUGCAACGCCGCGUGAGCGAUGAAGGUCUUCGGAUCGUAAAGCUCUGUUGUGAGGGAAGAACAAGUGCCGUUCGAAUAGGGCGGCACCUUGACGGUACCUCACCAGAAAGCCCCGGCUAACUACGUGCCAGCAGCCGCGGUAAUACGUAGGGGGCAAGCGUUGUCCGGAAUUAUUGGGCGUAAAGCGCGCGCAGGCGGUUCCUUAAGUCUGAUGUGAAAGGCCACAGCUCAACUGUGGAGGGCCAUUGGAAACUGGGGAACUUGAGGACAGAAGAGGAGAGCGGAAUUCCACGUGUAGCGGUGAAAUGCGUAGAUAUGUGGAGGAACACCAGUGGCGAAGGCGGCUCUCUGGUCUGUAACUGACGCUGAGGCGCGAAAGCAUGGGUAGCGAACAGGAUUAGAUACCCUGGUAGUCCAUGCCGUAAACGUUGAGUGCUAGGUGUUAGGGGGUCCAACCCUUAGUGCUGCAGUUAACGCAAUAAGCACUCCGCCUGGGGAGUACGGCCGCAAGGCUGAAACUCAAAGGAAUUGACGGGGGCCUGCACAAGCGGUGGAGCAUGUGGUUUAAUUCGACGCAACGCGAAGAACCUUACCAGGUCUUGACAUCUUCGGACAGCCCAAGAGAUUGGGUCUUCCCUUCGGGGACCGAAUGACAGGUGGUGCAUGGUUGUCGUCAGCUCGUGUCGUGAGAUGUUGGGUUAAGUCCCGUAACGAGCGCAACCCCUGAUCUUAGUUGCCAGCAUUCAGUUGGGCACUCUAGGAUGACUGCCGGUGACAAACCGGAGGAAGGCGGGGAUGACGUCAAAUCAUCAUGCCCCUUAUGACCUGGGCUACACACGUGCUACAAUGGAUGGUACAAAGGGAAGCCAAACCGCGAGGUCGAGCUAAUCCCAUAAAGCCAUUCUCAGUUCGGAUUGUAGGCUGCAACUCGCCUGCAUGAAGCCGGAAUCGCUAGUAAUCGCGGAUCAGAAUGCCGCGGUGAAUACGUUCCCAGGCCUUGUACACACCGCCCGUCACACCACGAGAGUUGGCAACACCCGAAGUC
rnacentral:rRNA from 1 species